rnacentral:rRNA from 1 species
GAUGAACGCUGGCGGCGUGCCUAAUACAUGCAAGUCGAGCGAACAGACGAGGAGCUUGCUCCUCUGACGUUAGCGGCGGACGGGUUAGUAACACGUGGAUAACCUACCUAUAAGACUGGGAUAACUUCGUGAAACCGUAGCUAAUACCGGAUAAUAUAUUGAACCGCAUGGUUCAAUAGUGAAAGACGGUUUUGCUGUCCCUUAUAGAUGGAUCCACGCCGCAUUAGCUAGUUGGUAAGGUAACGGCUUACCAAGGCAACGAUGCGUAGCCGACCUGAGAGGAUGAUAGGCCACACUGGAACUGAGACACGGUCAAGACUCCUAAGGGAGGCAGCAGUAGGGAAACUUCCGAAAUGGGCGAAAGAAUGACGGAGCAACGACGCGUGAGUGAUGAAGGUCUUCGGAUCGUAAAACUCUGUUAUUAGGGAAGAACAAAUGUGUAAGUAACUAUGCAAGUCUUGACGGUACCUAAUCAGAAAGCCACGGCUAACUACGUG